GCCCGGUUAGCUCAGUUGGUAGAGCGCAAGACUUUUAAUCUUGUGGUCGUGGGUUCAAGUCCCACAUCGGGCA
rnacentral:tRNA from 1 species